rnacentral:rRNA from 1 species
UAGUCCACGCCGUAAACGAUGAUCACUCGCUGUCUGCGAUACACAGUAGGCGGCUGAGCGAAAGCAUUAAGUGAUCCACCUGGGGAGUACGAUCGCAAGGUUGAAACUCAAAGGAAUUGACGGGGGCCCGCACAAGCGGAGGAACAUGUGGUUUAAUUCGAUGGUACGCGAGGAACCUUACCUGGGCUUAAAUGUAGAUUGCAUAGAGUAGAGAUAUUCUUUCCCUUCGGGGCUAUUUACAAGGUGCUGCAUGGUUGUCGUCAGCUCGUGCCGUGAGGUGUCGGGUUAAGCCCCAUAACGAGCGCAACCCCUAUCGUUAGUUGCUAGCAGGUGAUGCUGAGGACUCUAGCGAGACUGCCACCGUAAGGUGAGAGGAAGGUGGGGGAUGACGUCAAAUCAGCACGGGCCCUUAUGUCCAGGGGCUACACACGUGUUACAAUGGCAGGGUACAAAGGGGCAGCUACACAGCGAUGUGAUGCUAA